AAGUCGUAACAAGGUUUCCGUAGGUGAACCUGCGGAAGGAUCAUUAGAAAUCACCGGCCUAGCCGGUAUAAAAUUCUAUCCACCCUUGUGUGCAAACAAUGGAAAAAGAGAGAAAAUUGGAUACUUUUUUGUAUCCAAUCUCUCUAAAAUUUUUAUAAACUCCAUCAAAUUUUGAAUAAAACUAUUUUUUAUAAUAAAAUAUAUUAUACAACUUUCAACAACGGAUCUCUUGGCUCUC
rnacentral:misc_RNA from 1 species